AGUUUUUGUAUCGGAGUACGAAAUUAAUANACUCCACUUAAGACGGGUCACUGAUAUCAAAUUGCCGGCGCCAUAAAACUGGCACGCUUCCAUCGUAUUAGUAAACAAAGAAUUAAUCUCUGAUCAUACUUACCUAUAUGUCCUAAUUUAGACAGAGUUUAUAUAAAGAUCUUUAACCGAAACUCCACUUCUCUGGAAUUAUAAAUACUUCCUGUUCUUCUGGGAUAACUCGAAAUAAAACUUUUCUUAAAACAACUUAGAUAAAUAACAACAUGAAAUUUUUUAAACCAACCCCACUGUAUCCUUAUAUAUUUAGAAGGAUAUAACAAAACUUUAAAUAAGAAUAUUCACUAGAUACUAUCACUAUAUUUCUUUAUCAAUGGUAUCCCUAUUGUCCGAUUAAAAAAAUCUCUCAAGUAUAACUAUUUUUUCUAACCAUGGAGCUACAACCGAAUCUUACAGGAUUUCCACAUCGUCGGAAAUUCCCAACCAAACAAGUUGGUAAUUUUAAGAUGCACUAGACUCAAGUCUG
rnacentral:rRNA from 1 species